AGCCCAUAGUGUGGACACAACAACGUCAAUUCCUUGAAUCGCUCCUAAGCUUCGAAGAGUGAUUCACCAUCAGAUUGCUUGAAGUAAGUUAUCUGGUUCCUUAAUUU